GCAACAGCACUUUAGCUUAAAUGUUUAUAUUCAAAUUGAAUAACUCAAUGCAUAAAUAUAAUCACUUUUAAAGUUGAUAUGAAUGCGACAUUCGAUUUGAUUCGAUUCGAAAAUUGCUGAGCUCACAAUUUCUGAAGCAAACAUUUUGGUAUGUUUCGUUCGAUUUAUUUUUCGAUAAACACAGAUAUUUUCAAAGAAAGAAAAGAAAAGCGCGUUUUGCCGAUGUAAGACAUUUGUCUUAAAAUUAUUAUUCACUAAGAAUAAUUGCUAUUCUUACGAAUCGACGGAAAAACUUAAAUACCUUUAUUCAAACUCUUCGAUUUUUUUUUCCUCAAAUCAACUCAACUGAAAAAAGCAAAAUGGGUUGGAAGUGGGUCUGGAAAGUGGCAAAAUACGUGGCGGCUGUCAUGACCGGAUAUGAAGUUAGUGAUUUCAUUGGGAAUGAUGGCAAAGUUGAAGACAAACUCAAUACAGUUGCUAACAGCUUGACCGUUAGUGUCACCAACGGCUUAAAUAAAGCGAACGCACAAAUCAACUCAGACAUGGCCUCCUUAAAAAUCAUAAUUUUGAUCAACGUCUUAAUUGUUUCGGCCAUCGUCGUCUUAGCCGCAAUUAUAUGGGCCAUCAUUUCAGCCAAACGUUGCUGCGCUAAGGCUGUAAAGAAAGGCCUUGACGAAGUCUAAAUGAUUAUUCAUCGUGAUGCUCUGAAGUUAAUUGCCUAACACCACGUUACAACAGUUAAUUUCGCAAAUUUAUUCAUCACAUGAAUCCAGAACGAGUAUCAUCAACAAUGGAACAAAUACAAUAAACUUUAAUCGUCAAUUUCGUUGUAUUAAUGUUUUUCAUUAAAAUAAUAAAGACAAUGAUACCGUAAAGAA